rnacentral:lncRNA from 1 species
AAAAUUUUGUGAGACUACCAGGGUUCAUCAUGUCCUGCUGCAGAUAACUUAAAUGCUACAACAUUUAAUAUUUCAGGAAGCUCCUAUUAUGUUGUUGGUUAGAAUUUUUUAAAACAAUAGUUCCCAGCAAGGCUGCUUUUUAUUAUUAUUUUUUAAGUUAUUCUGCUAUUUUCCCUGACCCAGUAUUCUGAUAUAUGUUAAAGCUUUAAUGUAAUAAAAAUGCCUGUGGUAAUUAAUGGUAAGCAAGUUCUUUGGUGCUGCUGGCUUUUUUUCUUGCAAUGAAUGUUUAUAAGUUCUGUGUUAACAAGUGCAAAUGUGACCUGAACAUGUUUGCUGGUGCCAGUUUAGAGAGUUUUUAAUUUCUCAGAGAAUUGCAUGUCCUAGACAAAGGGGAUGUAAUUUUUGCUGAUUAUUGAAGGAUUUGCCAAGACAUACUUUGGUGCUUUGUACUUGAAUGUAGAACACAAAAUGGGAGUAGAUGAGGAAAACUAAUCCUCCUGAAAGGUAGUGUCUAGGCUUAAUUCCUAAAUCAGCAACCAUGCUUCAGUGCUAGGCCUUUUGGUGUUUAUUUUCAGAUCUUAGUCCCUUUUGGAUGUUUCACAACAAAAUUACAAUUCCAUUUUUUAAUUCCUAAUUGUCCUUUUAAAAAUGGGGAUUGCAUUUAACUGUUCAAGAAAAUGUCCUGUAGCAAUAUCAGAGAUACUUUCUUAACUUUCAGUUUAAGCUAAAUAUUUAACUAUGUUUAAUACCUAUGUAAGAGUGAAUGUAGAUGUUCCAUGUAUUUCUGGGCUGUGUGGGAAACCAGGAUCUGAGAGAUAGAUACACCUGUGAAUUAAACUUGUUCAGACAACAGACCUCUCUCCAAAUGUGACCUCUGCUUCAGAUGGUAAUCAUGUUAAUUUGACAAUUCUUUCUUUUGUGAAAGGUCAGCUCCUUUAUUCUGAUGGAAGGCAGUGUCUUCAGAGCAUGGAGAUGGUGGCUGAAAAGAAGAUUUUUAGAGAAGAAGAGUGCAGCAUGAUGGCAAUAAUAUUCAAGGAGGAAAAAUAUGAACUCCUAAAGAAGAUCUGACUUCUGCUAAUGCACGUAAGAAGAAAAAGGAGUCAGACAAGCUACUGCAAAAGAGCAACACAGGCUCAGGCACCAUGCUUUGUGCUUGACCACACCCUGGACGAGUGAUGGUGGAGGCUCUGGGCUGGCAGGAUCAAAGGUGGGAAGAGAGGAAGAAGGAAUUGUAGCACUGGCAGUUCUGACACACAUCUGGCAUUGAACUGGGAGUAGCCCCAAGGAGGGAGGAAAUGCCAUACACAGAAGCAGGUCUGUCACUG